CCUUCGGUUUCAAUUUUAUUGACAUUUCUAAAAAUAAUUGUUUUCUGCAGUGGAGUUGCCCUUCUGUAUUGCUUUGUUGGAAGAAAGACUUGUUGCCAAAGCUGAAAAUCACAGCAGUGGGACUCCUACAGACAGAUGCACGAAAGCAUUAGCACUCUCCUUUUCUGCGCUGUCACCUGCAUACUUAGUAUAAAUCAAGCUUGCUCCUGGGGAAGGCUGCUGGAAGGAGGGAGGAGACCGACACCGCUCCAGCAUUGUAAUUCAAGAGAUCUCCGGCAGCUUUUGCUGCCUCUCUCAGGAUUAGCAGCAAGCAUGCAACUUCUGUUAUUGCUGGGGAAGCUUCACUGUCCCAAGCUUCAAUCAGAAAGGCCCUGUUAGAGGUUGUCACAAGCCCUCCAAGCCCUUGUGGAAUAUGGAUUUUAAAAUACUGUGCACAGUGGGAAGAAUGAGCCGUGUUGUAACCGCAGAUCUGUGUGGCUUAAGAGAUCCUGAAGAGACUUCUCCUGUGUGGCCAUUUUCCUGUUUCUGCUUGGGACACGUUCAGCUCUUUGUCAUAAACUGAUUCUGCAGCUCAGUCCCCUUUCUCAUUGCCCAUCACCAUCAGUCUGGGCUGACAGUACCAAGAAGAACUGGACAGCACCAAGGAGCUGGAGAGCAGGGCUGCUGCCCUCAAAGGGGAUUUUGGGAAACACCUCCUAGAUGCAACUCAACACUUCUCUUGCCUUCAUCUUCCUCGCAUCUUGAGGCAAUUUCAUGUAGAGCUCUGCU